UACGUAGGGGGCAAGCGUUGUCCGGAUUUAUUGGGCGUAAAGCGCACGUAGGCGGCAUUGCAAGUCGGAUGUGAAAUCCCUCGGCUUAACCAAGGAAGUGCAUCCGAAACUGCAGUGCUUGAGUACUUAAGAGGAUCGCGGAAUUCCCGGUGUAGAGGUGAAAUUCGUAGAUAUCGGGAGGAACACCAGUGGCGAAGGCGGCGAUCUGGGAAGAUACUGACGCUGAGGUGCGAAAGCGUGGGGAGCAAACAGG
rnacentral:rRNA from 1 species